AUUUUUUUUAUGAACAUUUAAAAAAUGAUCUUGUUAUAAUCGGCAACAUGGCAUAUUAUUUUUGCCGUCAAAGCGUCAAGUGUCAAGUGCGUAACCUUGGUUUAUGAAGUGUCAAUUUUUUUUAAAUUAUGGAUGAUGUUGCUAAACGUCGUGAAGCCCGAAGACGGAAAAUUUUGGAAAAUUCCCAAAACAGGUUAAACCGAAUCUCAGGAGUAGAAGAAAAAUCGACGAAUGCAUGUGCAUAUGAUAAUCAUACAGAAAAUGCGACAGAAAAUCCAUCCAAUUCACAUUUUGAAAUUAACGAGUCUAACGAAACGUUUAUAAACGAAGUACAAACGCAACAGAAUCCAGUGGUAGAAGUUAGGCCCCCUCAGAAGCAAUACAGAAAAAUCGUUAUAAGCGCCUUGGCUGUUUUCGUAAAUGUGUUAUUGUUGUUGAUUGACAAACUGGAGCUUGAUGCAACUCCAUCACAUAGUAAUAAGAUAUUCCUUCCACUGCUUGUAUAUGAGGUGAUUGAGCUCUUGUCUUCGAAUAAUCAUAGAAACAAAAAUAAGAAUUUUCUCAUACUAUUAGCUGCCAAUUUAAACAACAAAUACAUUCUCCCUGUGAUUAAAUAUGUGGAAAUAUUGACGAAUGUUUUACAAGAUGUUAUGGUUUAUUUUUUUGUAUUUGUGUGUUGUGAGUUAGUUAAGUAUCUGUUGAGGAUGGUGGGGUGAUUUAUAAGUUAACUGGUGAAGUGCCUUAAGUUAAUUUGCAUUUCUUAUUUGAGGGUUCAUAUGUAUAUAAAAUUUGCAAUACAAA